rnacentral:rRNA from 1 species
CUGAUUAUGGCUCAAGGAUUGAACGCUGGCGUGAUGCUUUACACAUGCAAGUCGAACGGCAGCACGGACUUCGGUCUGGUGGCGAGUGGCGAACGGGUGAGUAAUGUAUCGAACGCGCCUAGUAGCGGGGGAUAACUACGCGAAAGCGUAGCUAAUACCGCAUACGCCCUUCGGGGGAAAGCGGGGACCUUCGGGCCUCGCACUAUUAGAGCGGCUGAUAUCGGAUUAGCUAGUUGGUGGGGUAACGGCUCACCAAGGCGACGAUCCGUAGCUGGUUUGAGAGGACGACCAGCCACACUGGGACUGAGACACGGCCCAGACUCCUACGGGAGGCAGCAGUGGGGAAUUUUGACAAUGGGGGAAACCCCGAUCCAGCCAUCCCGCGUGUGCGAUGGCUACCUUCGGGUUGUAAAGAAUUUUUGGCAGGAAAGAAACGGCACGGGAUAAUACCCCGUGCAACUGACGGUACCUGCAGAAUAAGCACCGCUAACUACGUGCCAGCAGCCGGCGGUAAUACGUAGGGUGCAAGCGUUAAUCGGAAUUACUGGGCGUAAAGCGUGCGCAGGCGGUUCGGAAAGAAAGAUGUGAAAUCCCAGAGCUUAACUUUGGAACUGCAUUUUUAACUACCGAGCUAGGAGUGUGUCAGAGGGAGUGUGAAUUCCGCGUGUAGCAGUGAAAUGCGUAGAUAUGCGGAGGAACACCGAUGGCGAAGGCAGCCUCCUGGGAUAACACUUACGCUCAUGCACGAAAGCGUGGGGAGCAAACAGGAUUAGAUACCCUGGUAGUCCACGCCCUAAACGAUGUCAACUAGCUGUUGGGGCCUUUCGGGCCUUGGUAGCGCAGCUAACGCGAAGUUGACCGCCUGGGGAGUACGGUCGCAAGAUUAAAACCCAAAGGAAUUGACGGGGACCCGCACAAGCGGUGGAUGACGUGGAUUAAUCUGAUGCAACGCGAAAAACCUUACCUACCCUUGACAUGUCUGGAAUCCCGAAGAGAUUUGGGAGUGCUCGCAAGAGAACCGGAACACAGGUGCUGCAUGGCUGUCGUCAGCUCUCGUGUCGUGAGAUGUUGGGUUAAGUCCUGCAAAUGAGCAGCAAACCUCAUUACGGGUUGCUACGAAAGGCACUCAACGAGACUGCCGGUGACAAACCGGAGGAAGGUGGGGAUGACGUCAAGUCCUCAUGGCCCUUAUGGGUAGGGCUUCACACGUCAUACAAUGGUCGGGACAGAGGGUCGCCAACCCGCGAGGGGAGCCAAUCCCAGAAACCCGAUCGUAGUCCUGGAUCGCAGUCUGCAACUCGACUACCGCGUGGUCGGAAUCGCUAGUAAUCGCGGAUCAGCAUGUCGCGGUGAAUACGUUCCCGGGUCUUGUACACACCGCCCGUCACACCAUGGAGUGGGUUUUACCAGAAGUAGUUAGCCUAACCGUAAGGAGGGUGAUUACCACGGUAGGAUUCAUGACUGGGUGAAGUCGUAACAAGGUAG